rnacentral:rRNA from 1 species
CAGCCGCCGCGGUAAUACGUAGGUGGCAAGCGUUGUCCGGAAUUAUUGGGCGUAAAGGGCUUGCAGGCGGUUUCUUAAGUCUGAUGUGAAAGCCCCCGGCUCAACCGGGGAGGGUCAUUGGAAACUGGGAAACUUGAGUGCAGAAGAGGAGAGUGGAAUUCCACGUGUAGCGGUGAAAUGCGUAGAGAUGUGGAGGAACACCAGUGGCGAAGGCGACUCUCUGGUCUGUAACUGACGCUGAGGAGCGAAAGCGUGGGGAGCGAACAGGAUUAGAUACCCCAGUAGUCCCUGUCUCUUAUAC